GUGGAGGGUCAUUGGAAACUGGAGGACUUGAGUGCAGAAGAGGAGAGUGGAAUUCCACGUGUAGCGGUGAAAUGCGUAGAGAUGUGGAGGAACACCAGUGGCGAAGGCGACUCUCUGGUCUGUAACUGACGCUGAGGCGCGAAAGCGUGGGUAGCGAACAGGAUUAGAUACCCUGGUAGUCCACGCCGUAAACGAUGAGUGCUAAGUGUUAGAGGGUUUCCGCCCUUUAGUGCUGCAGUUAACGCAUUAAGCACUCCGCCUGGGGAGUACGGCCGCAAGGCUGAAACUCAAAGGAAUUGACGGGGGCCCGCACAAGCGGUGGAGCAUGUGGUUUAAUUCGAAGCAACGCGAAGAACCUUACCAGGUCUUGACAUCCCGCUGACCGGUAUAGAGAUAUACCUUUCCCUUCGGGGACAGCGGUGACAGGUGGUGCAUGGUUGUCGUCAGCUCGUGUCGUGAGAUGUUGGGUUAAGUCCCGCAACGAGCGCAACCCUUAAUCUUAGUUGCCAGCAUUCAGUUGGGCACUCUAAGGUGACUGCCGGUGACAAACCGGAGGAAGGUGGGGAUGACGUCAAAUCAUCAUGCCCCUUAUGACCUGGGCUACACACGUGCUACAAUGGAUGGUACAAAGGGUCGCAAAACCGCGAGGUCAAGCUAAUCCCAUAAAACCAUUCUCAGUUCGGAUUGCAGGCUGCAACUCGCCUGCAUGAAGCCGGAAUCGCUAGUAAUCGUAGAUCAGAAUGCUACGGUGAAUACGUUCCCGGGCCUUGUACACACCGCCCGUCACACCACGAGAGUUUGUAACACCCGAAGUCGGUGGGGUAACCCUUACGGGAGCCAGCCGCCGAAGGUGGGACAGAUGAUUGGGGUGAAGUCGUAACAAGGUAACC
rnacentral:rRNA from 1 species